rnacentral:tRNA from 2 species
GGCGCCGUGGCGAAGUGGCUAACGCGGCGGUCUGCAAAACCGCUAUACGAGGGUUCAAUUCCCUCCGGCGCCUCCA